GAUGAACGCUAGCGGCAGGCUUAACACAUGCAAGUCGAGGGGCAGCAAGGAUUGUGCUUGCACAAUCUGUUGGCGACCGGCGCACGGGUGCGUAACGCGUAUGCAACCUACCUUUAACAGGGGGAUAACACUGAGAAAUUGGUACUAAUACCCCAUAAUACUUUGAGAGGCAUCUUUCGGAGUUGAAAGUUCCGGCGGUUAUGGAUGGGCAUGCGUUGUAUUAGCUAGAUGGUGAGGUAACGGCUCACCAUGGCUACGAUACAUAGGGGGACUGAGAGGUUAACCCCCCACACUGGUACUGAGACACGGACCAGACUCCUACGGGAGGCAGCAGUGAGGAAUAUUGGUCAAUGGACGCAAGUCUGAACCAGCCAUGCCGCGUGCAGGAUGACGGCUCUAUGAGUUGUAAACUGCUUUUGUACAAGGGUAAACCCUGGGACGUGUCCCAGGCUGAAAGUACUGUACGAAUAAGGAUCGGCUAACUCCGUG
rnacentral:rRNA from 1 species